rnacentral:rRNA from 1 species
GAUGAACGCUGGCGGCGUGCCUAAUACAUGCAAGUCGAGCGAACAGAUGAGGAGCUUGCUCCUCUGACGUUAGCGGCGGACGGGUGAGUAACACGUGGAUAACCUACCUAUAAGACUGGGAUAAAUUCGGGAAACCGGAGCUAAUACCGGAUAAUAUAUUGAACCGCAUGGUUCAAUAGUGAAAGACGGUUUUGCUGUCACUUAUAGAUGGAUCCGCGCCGCAUUAGCUAGUUGGUAAGGUAACGGCUUACCAAGGCAACGAUGCGUAGCCGACCUGAGCGGGUGAUCGGCCACACUGGAACAGAGACACGGUCCAGACUCCUACGGGAGGCAGCAGUAGGGAAACUUCCGCAAUGGGCGAAAGCCUGACGGAGCAACGCCGCGUGAGUGAUGAAGGUCUUCGGAUCGUAAAACUCUGUUAUUAGGGAAGAACAAAUGUGUAAGUAACUAUGCACGUCUUGACGGUACCUAAUCAGAAAGCCACGGCUAACUACGUG